ensembl:lncRNA
GUUUUAUUUACCCAGCCAAGUGCCUAAUGCAGAGUACCUAGUAAACGUUUGCCAUCUGAAUGACCACGUGGCUGGGCGCGCCCCAUCCACCAUCGAGGUGCUGGAGGGUUUGUGGAGCCAAGCCCCACCUGGGAGGCACGAGGUGGAGUAGGAAAAGAUUGAAGGGUUAGGGGACCACUGUUUUACUGGUUUCUAAUCUGACUCUCCCAUCUGCUGUUCUGGGCAAUACAGUAGAAACAGCUGCUCAAAUGCACAAGGAAUGGAUGUGCCUGAACCUGCCUCUGACUCCCAGGUGUUCCCCAAUCAGAAAUCGAACCCAGGCCUUCGAGAGUGAAAGCAUGGCAUACUUACCACCGGACCACCAGGGAAUUCCCCCACCUUUGUUUAAAAAUACAAACAAACCUGGAAAAACAUACAUCAUGAUGUCUU